CGCCUCUUGACAAAAUAUAAGAGGUCCAGCCUGCCCAGUGACUUUGUUCAACGGCCGCGGUAUCCUAACCGUGCGAAGGUAGCGUAAUCACUUGUUCUUUAAAUGAGGACCAGUAUGAAUGGCAUCACGAAGGUUACACUGUCUCCUUUUUCCAAUCAGUGAAACUAAUCUCCCCGUGAAGAAGCGGGGAUAAACCUAUAAGACGAGAAGACCCUAUGGAGCUUUAAACUAAAUAACACUUGCUUUUACACAAUCUGCCUCCAGAGCAACUUCCACUUACUUUAGCCUCCUGAUUAUUAGUUUUAGGUUGGGGUGACCGCGGAGUAAAAAAUAACCUCCACAUUGAAUGGGAGAAUUCCCCUGAGCCGCGAACUACAACUCUAAGCACCAAUAAAUUGACAUCAAUUGACCCAAUAUAUUGAUCAACGAACCAAGUUACCCUAGGGAUAACAGCGCAAUCCGCUUUAAGAGCCCCUAUCGACAAGCGGGUUUACGACCUCGAUGUUGGAUCAGGGUAUCCCAGUGGUGCAGCCGCUACUAAAGGUUCGUUUGUUCAACGAUUAAAACCCU
rnacentral:rRNA from 1 species